UCAUCUGGUUCAAAAGUCACAGACGCCACUCAUAAGCCCGUGACUAUGACGCCUAGUUUUGCACAGCAGCAAACUGAGGCCCAGAGAGGGGAAGCGGCUUUCCUAAGGCUGCCCAGCUCACAGGCAGCAGAGGCAGAAGAACCGAGGUGUCUUUCUGCUCAUCCGCUGGCGGGAGGCCUUCCCCAAAGCGCCUUCCCUUGCUCCGUCAUACAGGAGGCUGUUGGCUGUGUUUUCCUGAAUCGUCACGUAUGCUUCAGCACCGGCUGCGUCUUCCGGAAUGCGUAGGGAAGAAGUCCUCCUGGAUUGAUCCCAUAUCUCCUUGGAGAAACACAGCUUGUCUCAUCACCCAGCCCUGCUGUCACAGCUCUGUCCGUGACAUUCCUGUCCCAAACUGCCUACUUGAAGCAACUCAGCCGGGAGACAGAGGGAUGGAAGCAAUGACCCUGAAGAGUCAGAGGGGAGGGAAGAUGAAGAGGUCUCGGGAAUCUCACUCAAUGGGAGAGCAGCCUGGGUCCUGGACCUGUGAAAAGCACACGCACGUUUUCCUGCCCCAAAGCAGCCCCUGCAGUCAAGACAGCGUCUGAGACAGAGGCUGGAUCCCGCGGGUUGUCCUGACCUGGCUGCACGCUGCCCUCAUCAGCUCCUGCGCCCUCUCCAGGCUUCUGUCACCCUGCCUGGUUGGGGGCAGGGAACCCUGCUCUCCCACUCACCUCCUGUGAAGUCUUCUCUUCCAUGGCUCCCCACUCGCCCUCAGAACCCUCCUUGCUCACUUCUUACCUCUGCUAUCGUGUGGUUCCCACUGUGCUGCCCACCCCUGCGCCUAAGCCCUGGGGGCUCCUGGAGGCUGGACUGUGUCCCUCAGAGCCCCUGCCGUGCUGUCCCAGCACAGUGGCCUGGCUGCCAGGCCCACAGCAGGUGUUCCGAAGAAGUAAGCACUCUUCACCCUGCGCCCCACCCCCUGACCCCAUCAAGGAAAGGGAGGCAGAGUAUGCCUGUCCCGGUCAGGCUCCUGCGGAGGCAGAGACAGGGCAGGGGACGGGAGGGGACAGCAUGGGGCCACACGGACUGGGGGGAGGCUGACAAGGACACCCACACAGAGGAGGCCGAGGGGAGCGAGGGGCAGACUUGGUCCUGGUGAGUAGGAGGCCAGAAGAGGAAAAGACAGGCCCGAGGCGGGGUCUGCAGGGAAAGGCAGCAGGCAGGACCCGGUGACAGAGACCUCAAGAGUCACGGAGCCAGGCCAAGGCAGGGGAGCGUCCCGGAGAUGGAGGGGGAGAGGCAGAGGGCCUCUCGUGUUCUGCACACUUCUUCCCCUUAGACGUGUGUGUCGAGAGGCUGGGCAGGUGCCCCGACCCGGGACAGGGGACCCCCCCCCCGGGGUCUGCAGGCAGGUGAACAGCUGGGGAGACACGCGGAGCACAAGGGGUGGGGGGGAAGGGGCUUGUGCUUCUCACCUGAGCUGAGGAGGGCUCAGAGCUGCACGCACCCCUAUCCCUCCACCUCCCCGCCCCCCUCUCUCCCAGGCCUCCUUCCUUUCAGGUUCCCUGGGCACCCCCCCCCCGGACUGCCCACCCACCUCUCGCUGC